AAUUAACGCGAAGAAAACUUACCUACCCUUGACAUGUACGGAAUUCCGCUGAGAGGUGGAAGUGCCCGAAAGGGAGCCGUAACACAGGUGCUGCAUGGCUGUCGUCAGCUCGUGUCGUGAGAUGUUGGGUUAAGUCCCGCAACGAGCGCAACCCUUGUCCCUAGUUGCUACGCAAGAGCACUCCAGGGAGACUGCCGGUGACAAACCGGAGGAAGGUGGGGAUGACGUCAAGUCCUCAUGGCCCUUAUGGGUAGGGCUUCACACGUCAUACAAUGGUCGGAACAGAGGGUUGCCAAGCCGCGAGGUGGAGCCAAUCCCAGAAAACCGAUCGUAGUCCGGAUCGCAGUCUGCAACUCGACUGCGUGAAGCUGGAAUCGCUAGUAAUCGCGGAUCAGCAUGCCGCGGGAAUACGACGUU
rnacentral:rRNA from 1 species